AUGAAGGACGUACUAACUUGCGAUAAGCGCAGAUAAGGCAGUAAGAGCCGUUUGAGUCUGCGAUUUCCGAAUGGGGAAACCCAACUGCAUAAGCAGUUACUGUUAACUGAAUACAUAGGUUAACAGAGCAAACCGGGGGAACUGAAACAUCUAAGUACCCCGAGGAGAAGAAAUCAACCGAGAUUCCGGUAGUAGCGGCGAGCGAACCUGGAUUAGCCCUUAAGCACUCGGUGAAGUAGGUGAACAAGCUGGAAAGCUUGGCGAUACAGGGUGAUAGCCCCGUAACCGACGCUUCAUCGAGCGUGAAAUCGAGUAGGGCGGGACACGUGAUAUCCUGUCUGAAUAUGGGGGGACCAUCCUCCAAGGCUAAAUACUCCUGACUGACCGAUAGUGAACCAGUACCGUGAGGGAAAGGCGAAAAGAACCCCUGUGAGGGGAGUGAAAUAGAACCUGAAACCGUGUACGUACAAGCAGUAGGAGCACCUUCGUGGUGUGACUGCGUACCUUUUGUAUAAUGGGUCAGCGACUUAUAUUCAGUGGCAAGGUUAACCGUAUAGGGGAGCCGUAGCGAAAGCGAGUCUUAACUGGGCGCUCAGUCUCUGGAUAUAGACCCGAAACCGGGUGAUCUAGCCAUGGGCAGGUUGAAGGUUGAGUAACAUCAACUGGAGGACCGAACCGACUAAUGUUGAAAAAUUAGCGGAUGACUUGUGGCUAGGGGUGAAAGGCCAAUCAAACUCGGAGAUAGCUGGUUCUCCCCGAAAGCUAUUUAGGUAGCGCCUCGGACGAAUACUACUGGGGGUAGAGCACUGUUAAGGCUAGGGGGUCAUCCCGACUUACCAACCCUUUGCAAACUCCGAAUACCAGUAAGUACUAUCCGGGAGACACACGGCGGGUGCUAACGUCCGUCGUGGAGAGGGAAACAACCCAGACCGCCAGCUAAGGUCCCAAAGUAUUGCUAAGUGGGAAACGAUGUGGGAAGGCUCAGACAGCUAGGAUGUUGGCUUAGAAGCAGCCAUCAUUUAAAGAAAGCGUAAUAGCUCACUAGUCGAGUCGGCCUGCGCGGAAGAUGUAACGGGGCUAAGCAAUACACCGAAGCUGCGGCAAUGUCUUUUAGA
rnacentral:rRNA from 1 species